rnacentral:rRNA from 1 species
CCUACGGGUGGCAGCAGUGGGGAAUAUUGGACAAUGGGGGCAACCCUGAUCCAGCCAUGCCGCGUGUGUGAAGAAGGCCCUCGGGUUGUAAAGCACUUUCAGUGAGGAAGAACGCCUGGUGGUUAAUACCCAUCAGGAAAGACAUCACUCACAGAAGAAGCACCGGCUAACUCCGUGCCAGCAGCCGCGGUAAUACGGAGGGUGCGAGCGUUAAUCGGAAUUACUGGGCGUAAAGCGCGCGUAGGUGGCUUGAUAAGCCGGUUGUGAAAGCCCCGGGCUCAACCUGGGAACGGCAUCCGGAACUGUCCAGCUAGAGUGCAGGAGAGGAAGGUAGAAUUCCCGGUGUAGCGGUGAAAUGCGUAGAGAUCGGGAGGAAUACCAGUGGCGAAGGCGGCCUUCUGGACUGACACUGACACUGAGGUGCGAAAGCGUGGGUAGCAAACAGGAUUAGAUACACCGGUAGUC